GUUGUGUGGAUCGUUGAAGAAUGAAGUGAAAUUGUGCUCUAAGCAGAAGUGAGUGUGAGUGUGUCUGACGUCACGGUGUGUGUGUGAAAAGGUGUCCAGCUGGGGCAGACGUGAUUCUGUAGGUCACCUGCCCAGCGGACAAAGAAAUAACAUAGUUGUGUGGAUGAAUGAUAACACAAAGAGUGUUUGGUGUUUCUCAGCCUGAAACAGCUGUAAUGCUAUUUUCUGUUUUGGAGAAAAGGACAGUUAAAAAAUAAAAAAGAGAGAGAGAGAGAGAUGUGUUUUGUUUUAAGCAGUGAUGAGAUUAAUGAAAAUGUGAUGAGAGGAACACAAAAACAUACAGAAAAUGCAUCAACCAUACUAACCCUACAUGCACAUACACAAUAAAUGAUACUCAUGAAGACCAGACAGCAUCUUAAGCAUGAGAUUCUGUUUGUCAUCUUGUCCAAGUCACUAGUAAGAUGAAAGUGAUACAUAGACUAGUGGACUGAAUAUUAUAGGAGGACAGAUGACCGCAUCAUAGGGAGAAAACAGAAUGCUGAUGAGGGGUUUUAAAUGAGUGAGCUGAUUGUGAGUUUCUGGUGUGUGAAGAAGUUUUACCAUGGCACACGUUUGGUUACAUGAGAAGAAACUUAUUAUGUGAUGAGACAACAGUGUUAUGCUGUAUGUUGUGUGUGGCUGAUUGGAUGAAUGUUUGAAAUUGAUCUAGCUGUUGAUUUGUCUUUUGUUACUAAGUUGAGCCUGCCAAAUGGGUUGUUAUGAUUUAUCCCCCUGGCAUGAAGAACACGUGUCAUGAUUUAAACAAGGCCUUUCUUUCCUUUUUCCUUUCUUUUCUUUCUUUUCUUUUUAUUUUGUUACUUUCAUGGUGCACUGAAAGUUUCGUUUGAUGAUCUCUGUUUGAGCACAUAUGCACGAUUAGAACAGAAAUGCUAUACGACUCGUCGUCAAGAAAACUGUUGUAAAAGUGAGUUUCUCCAAAAAUUUAAAUAGGCUUAGGAGAAAGCCACUUAUUUGGGACAAUCAGAAAACAAGUCCCUGCCAAAAAGGAUUCAGAGAGAUGUCGUGAGGUGCCAUGACGAGAAGGAGUGACUGAGAGGAUCAUCGAUAAGAUGGAAGCUGAGGCCUGGAGAGAGUCUUCAGGAGGAUCGGAGAUCACCUUUAGCACAGAGAGCUGUGCUACUGGGCUUCCAGGAGAUCGUUAUGAGGAGACUCUGCACAGCAGAAUCUUGAAUAGGAUAAAAGAGUUUCGACGUUGACGUUGAGGAAGACUACUAAGGUGUACGACGUGCUCUGCCUUUAAAAUCUUCAGCAGCGUUGGAACAUGAGAAUCUGAGGGAGCGUGCCAAGCUCCAAAAAGUGACAGCGCAGAGGAGGUCCAGCGAUGGACUUGUGGUUCUGUGAACAGCACAAAUGCCAGGUGACUGUGAAAUAACUAACAGCACUUUUUCCACAAGUGAAGCCAGUAACUUACUAUCCUAAAAGAUUAGCUGUAGUUCCUUGUGCUUUACCUCCAUGUGUGUGAUCAGUAUGUGCAGCGGCUUAAGCUGUACAAUGUUUCAGGAUAUAGUUUUUCACCUUUUUGACACUGUUAGUUCCACACGAGGUAGAUGUCUACUACUGCAGGCUAAAAUUACAUUUCUGUCACCUACAAGACGCUUGUCUUUAAUGUUACUGUUACUCUCACAACCACAUAUUACCAUAAAGUGAUGCACAAUUCUGAAUCCGUCAAACCUUUUGCCAACGAAAGAAGAGGGCACUUCUCAUGAGCGUAGAGAAGGAGUGUAAGCCGAG
ensembl:lncRNA